rnacentral:rRNA from 1 species
UACGUAGGGGGCGAGCGUUAAUCGGAUUUACUGGGCGUAAAGCGUGCGCAGGCGGCCCGUUAAGACAGGUGUGAAAUCCCUGGGCUCAACCUAGGAAUUGCGCUUGUGACUGGCGGGCUCGAGUACGGUAGAGGGGGGUGGAAUUCCUGGUGUAGCAGUGAAAUGCGUAGAGAUCAGGAGGAACACCGAUGGCGAAGGCAGCCCCCUGGGCCUGUACUGACGCUCAUGCACGAAAGCGUGGGGAGCAAACAGG